CUUGAAUAGCGUCGGCUUUGGAGCGCCAUUCCGGAGUGAGACUUUGAAGAAUUUUACAGACAAGUUCCCUAUCCGUGAAAGUCUUCUUAAGAGCAUGAAGAUCAUUAACGAUUUUUGAAAAUUGUUCGAACAUAUCAUCUAUCUUCUCGUUUUCCUUCAUAUGAAAAAGUUCAUAUUCAUGGGUUAGAAAAUCUAUUUUAGCUUCUCUUACCUGGUCCGUA
rnacentral:lncRNA from 1 species